UCAUGAUUUGCCACAUAGGACCAUUAUUUAUGUGCUACACCACCCCCUCUGUAACACCCCGGAAACAUAUACUUUAUAUUAUAAAUAAAAGACGGUAAUGGUCGAGAUAAAAUAACUAGGAAUAAAUAACCUAGUUAGUUAAAAAUCUUGAAAUAAUAGGAAAAAUUAGGGUUAAAACACAUUAUAUAAAACUUGAGGAAAGUUGACGGGCCAAAAAGUGACAAAACUGAAAAUGAUUUUUAUUAAAUAAAACAUAAAAACCAAAACACACACACUAAGUGUGUGUUCUGGUCGUAGAAAGCACAGGGGCGAACAAGGGUUCCUCCAACCUAACCCUUGCAAAAAUUGAUCAAUUGAGAAGCCAAAUCGAAAUCCAAGCUCAGUGAAGGGAUCACAAGGCAAGGAAACCGAGUCUUCAAGCGGAUAAGCCAGAUUAGAUACGCGCUUGAAAGGAAAGCUUUAAAGGUCCAGAGAGUGGAACCGCUGGAAAACAGACUCCCCCGUGGCACGCGAGGGGAUGAGUAAAUGCUGGCGCGACACGCGGGCCCUGUCGCGGCCCCCGAACGAAUUAAAGAAAUCUCUCGCGUGGCGCGAGAGACUUAGAUCUGAAUUUUUAUUUUUGAUUUCGUUUAUUUGAUAUUGGAACUUGUUUAUUCUUGUUUCUAUGUUAUCAAAACUAACUUUUAAGUUGGUUUUGACAUUAGGUGAAUGUAGCUACCAUCCAAAUGCCGAUCAAGCAACGAAGUGAACCGAACACAUACUUAAAGAAGCUUCCGCGAUGUCUUUCUUUUGUUUAGUUUAAAAAUGAAAGUUGUAAACACUUGAUACUAUAUUUUGAAUCCUUUAGUCAUGUAAGAACGUAACUUGACAAAGUUUUUGAAGGGUUGUAUUUUCACAU